rnacentral:rRNA from 1 species
UACGUAGGUGGCAAGCGUUGUCCGGAAUUAUUGGGCGUAAAGCGCGCGCAGGCGGUCCUUUAAGUCUGAUGUGAAAGCCCACGGCUCAACCGUGGAGGGUCAUUGGAAACUGGGGGACUUGAGUGCAGAAGAGGAAAGCGGAAUUCCACGUGUAGCGGUGAAAUGCGUAGAGAUGUGGAGGAACACCAGUGGCGAAGGCGGCUCACUGGCCCGGUACUGACGCUGAGGUGCGAAAGCGUGGGGAGCAAACAGG